UACGGGGGGGGCAAGCGUUGUUCGGAAUUAUUGGGCGUAAAGAGCUCGUAGGUGGCUGGUCGCGUCUGCCGUGAAAGCCCGCAGCUUAACUGCGGGUCUGCGGUGGAUACGGGCCGGCUAGAGGUAGGCAGGGGCAAGUGGAAUUCCUGGUGUAGCGGUGAAAUGCAUUGAGAUCGGAAAGAACACCAACGGCGAAAGCACUCUGCUGGGCCGACACUGACACUGAGAGACGAAAGCUAGGGGAGCAAAUGGG
rnacentral:rRNA from 1 species